CAUCACUCAACGUUCCUGGAUAAAGUUAGAUGUACCUCACUCUGUUAGUAAGAGAUAUGGUCAUUCUCUCUCAGUGUUCAUUAUGAGUCCUCAUCGUGUCUGGAUAAUAACUGUUGGAGGAUGUGUUGAUAAGACAGGGACACUUACCACAUAUCCUAACACUACUAUGUUGACUGAACUAGUUUUGAACAGUAAAGGAGAGUGGACAGUAAGUGAUACA